rnacentral:tRNA from 2 species
GCAGUUGUGGCCGAGUGGUUAAGGUGAUGGACUAGAAAUCCAUUGGGGUCUCCCCACACAGGUUCGAAUCCUGUCGACUACG